GGGCACACAACCUGGACAGCACACAGUGCCUCUGAAUAACACAAGGCACGAAGGGAAUGGAGAACAUUCUCACCUUUCCGGAACAUCCCUAACCAGGCCAGGGAAGGCUGAGCCCCGUGAGGCCCAGGGUGGAAGGGCAAAAGCACCAGGCCAGGCCCAAGGCCUUCGGGAUUGGGCGGGCCAGUGUCUCCUCCACCCUGCCUCUCACUGCUGGUAUCUGCCUUCGUCACCCACGUUCCAGGGACGACCCUCCGAGGGAAGUGCCCCAGAAACACCACCCGACGGUGAAAGCGUGGGGCACAGGCGAGCUGCAGACGGGAUGUGCGGAAGUGGUGACUUCGUGCCAGGGAGUCUGCUUCCAGAUCCACGUCACUGUCACGCUGCCUUUUGGAUAAAUCUAACACAGGGCUGAGGCAGACCUAGUGUGCUCUGCUCAGGCCCAGAGUCUGUCUAGUGUCCCCAGCGAGGACGCCCGGCCAGCUGGACUGAACUGGAGCAGGACUGAACUGGUCAUCCGUGGCUUUGCAUUUUCCCAGCUGCCUCUGUUUUUCUUCUCGGAACAGCACCCUGAUUUUCCUUGGGGCAGCCACCCUUUCCCACACUUCUAGCAGCACCAACUGUCCUCCAGCCGCCGCCUCUCUGUCCUCCCAGAACGAUCACGUGACUCACACCAGCCAAUCACCUGGCCACCCUCCAGGUGUGUCCACUAUUCAGGGGGCGGCACUGCCCCACACCCGGCAAAUCAGGGUCAAUUCUGGG
ensembl:lncRNA